AAGGUCUUCGAGAAGCUGCUCUAUGAGAUUUAAGUUAUGUCAAACUUUCCAUUUUGCCCCGUGUGUUUGCAAGGAUGUUUUUGCACAUUAUUCGUUUUUACCUCACCUGACAUUUCUGAGCAUGUAAGAUACGUUAAUCUGUAAGGAUUUUGAUUCUCUUCUUGCAUUUUGAUCUGCUAAUCAUAUAACGCUCUUCGAUUUUAAUUUAAAUAUUUUUUUACUACAAUAUUGUACCAAUUUUGGUUAGUGUUCUUGUUUUUGGUGUUUAAUUCCUGGUUUAGCAGUUUGGGAAAACGAAAUACUAAUAAGUAUUAAAGAAAUAGAGAGAUUUAAAGAAUCCUUUUCGUAUCUCGAUCUCCAUUAAUUUGUAUCAAGGCCAUGGUCCUACUAGAAAG
rnacentral:lncRNA from 1 species